CGGCCGUGGCAGCGGCCCCUUCCCGAGGUGCGGCGGGGACGGAACCCGGGGGUGUCCGACUCCGGUGUCCCCCGUGUCCCCACGUGCAGGCUCCUCCGUGGUGCUCUCUGAAAGCAUUUCAAGCUCGACACACAGAAGCUGUUUCUCCAUGAGCAGCUGUGGGGCAUUUGGCUGAUGGUUUUGACAGCAGAGAUGAAUUGAGGACGUGGCAUCUGCAGUCCUGACCUGGAAUUUGAGCCCUUUAGUGCCUCUCCCUCCUCCCAGACAGAGAGGAGGCGGAAGAUCUCGGAAUCUUCUGAUUGCCAUCGAUCUGAUUUUGCUGAGCACUGGACUUCUAUCACGUCUGUGUGUUCCUUGAGAGAUGAUUUCAAUCUGAAAAAAAACCCUGUAAGUAUCUUGAGAGCUGGAAAUCAGAUGCUCUGAUCUAGCAUUUCUCCAGCAUUUAGCCAUCACCUCUACAACCAGCACCUCAUUUAAAAAAACCAACAAAACAAACAUGAAACAUAAGGAAAACCAUGAGAUAAUGUUGCUGAUUUUGAGCCCUGACGUACAUGUGUUUCCUUUCUGAUAUUUUUGGAGGGAAGAAUUGGAUCUACCUUUUUUUUUUUUUUCCCCCCACAUCUGUGAGGACUAGACACUUCUUUACCAGAGGGGAAAAAAAUAAAUUGAGAUUUCCAGGUGGUAACAUGGCUGAAAGAAAACAUGAAUACGUGGAAAUUCAUGCUCAUUACUACUGGCACAGAUGUGGCUCUGUAGAGCUGAAGCUAACCAGGGUGUAGAGAUGAGAACUGCAUAUAAUUGAAGCCCUGAUUAAUUAAAAGCAAUUUCUUGGCACAGACAACGAUGGAGCAUUCUUGGGUGGAUCUGCACAUGUCCCAGUGGACGUGUGCACCAGGGCCUGCUGCCUGUGCUGGGGUGAGGCUUUGUGUGGGCAGACAAGGGGUAGAAAAGUGUCUUUGCCAAGAAAGCCAAGCCAAGAGGAACAGCGAGCCACCUCUCCACUGCAGCUUCAGGUGUGUUGCUGCACCCAGCACACAAGUGCCCCAUGCUUCUCCAGGGCUCUACACUUGGAACUGCUGCUGGAGGAAGUGUGGGAUCAGGAAGGGAAUUUUGUGCACACAGGGCAAUGACCUUAUCGUGCAGGAUCAUAAGCAAAACCCUGAAAGACAACUGAUGGAUCCAGCAGCCCUGGGAACACUGCUGGAACCACCAGCUUCAUGGAACAUUUUCCUGGAGUCCAGCAGUGGUUUUCUGGAGUUAAAAAUUGAUCAAAUUUCCUUUCCUCCCUUCCCCCCCUCCCAAAGGCUUUUUUGUUAUCUGUGUCCAAAAUCUCCGGCAGAAACUCCAUGAUUGGAGCAAUUUGGCCCAAUGCCAUGAGAAGGGACUGCUCCACACACCUUAGGAAGUGCAAAGAGGAGAAAGAAAAGAAAGUAGAGCCCUUCAUGCUGCGCCUGAUCGCUCAUCAAAGCCAGCUGCCUCCUGUGCUGACCUGAGGACAUGACAGAUGUCUGUAGCCUUUACAGGUGCAGGGCCUGCAUUUCAUCAGUCUUUUUUCCAUGGAUGACCUGGAGUGUGGAUUAUUAGCAGCUCCGAUUUCUUUGGCCGAGGUGCUUUGUUGUGUACACAUCCGGGUUAAAUCAAAGCAAUAUUUCUGAUCCAUGUAGGCUUCUGAGUCGGUUCUGCAUCUCUGGUGUUUACAAAAUGAUCAGAGUUUGAACUCUCCCUGUUCUGUUUCUUAAAUGUCAGCAGAAACUUUUUUUUUAAAUAAAACAAUGCAGCCUUCCCCUGCAAUGUUUGUAACCGAGAAACUGUGGCAUCACAAGAGCAUGAAGAAAUACUGGCUGAUUAAAACCAGGGUAAGAAAUGACA